rnacentral:tRNA from 1 species
GCCGCUGUGGUGGAAUUGGCAUACACACUCCAUUCCCAAUGGAGCGCCUCGUCGGGCAUGUGGGUUCGAAUCCCACCAGCGGCACCA